rnacentral:lncRNA from 1 species
AAGAUCUGGACAAUUUCAGCAGUAAAUGUAUCUGGGCCUAGAGCUUUUAGGUUCAUAUAUCAGAAGACAAGAAGACAGUCUGGUGACACUCGCUUUGGAUGUGGAGACUGAACCAUGAGGGGAGGCAGCUUUGUCACCAGAGCCUUCUAGCUUAUGGACUUUCUCAGCCAACUCUGUUCCCCCCUUUUCUGCUGCCUUUGGCUGAACUGCUAGCACCCAGUUUUCUUCAGGGCACCCCCACUGCCCCCCUCUGUGUCCCUGCUGUAAAAAGUGGGGCCAAAAGCUUCCUCUAGCCUCCUUAGUUAGCAUUCUGUUUUUUUUUUUCACUUCUCCAAAAUUGGUUGACUUCGCUCAUCUUUGUGUGUUCUUCUCUCUAGGUACCUCCUCGACCGCUUUAUGAUUUUUAUUACUACACAUCUUUGGAAAGUGGUGAACUCUAAGAAACAGUGUCCAAUCAACCACACUGAAUUGGAAGUCCCAAGCUCCUUAACAUAUGAUUCAACACAGCCCAGAUGAUAGCACUCUCCUCUCGGACAC